UACAGGGGGUGCAAACGUUGCUCGGAAUCAUUGGGCGUAAAGCGCACGUAGGCGGUUCGUUAUGUCGGAUGUGAAAGCCCUUGGCUUAACCGAGGAAGUGCAUCCGAAACUGGCGAGCUAGAGUACUAAAGAGGAUCGCGGAAUUCCCGGUGUAGAGGUGAAAUUCGUAGAUAGUCGGGAGGAACACCGGUGGCGAAGGCGGCGAUCUGGGUCGAUACUGACGCUGAGGUGCGAAAGCGUGGGAGCAAACAGG
rnacentral:rRNA from 1 species